rnacentral:lncRNA from 1 species
CGCGCAACACAGACAGGCACGUAACUGUUUUGAGUCUGUCUGGUGUCUGUCUGAAACUGAACAAAUUGGAGAUGGAGUUUUAAGUCUCCAUCUAAAUUGAUAAGAAAUAAUGAAUUCAAUAUGGGAAUUUACAAUCACUCAACAACGCUCGCGAUUGAAUUACAGCGCAAUUUAAAUCAAUAUUUAGGCUGACGCUUUGAAAGUUUUUUCAAUGUUUAUCAUCAGACAAUUCAUUAUUUACAGGUAUCAUCUUCUUCCGUCCUGACAAAAAGCCUAUUUGCCCGAAGUUUAAGCCUAAUGGAGCGUUUCAAUGGAGCAGUUAUUUGAAAGAAGGCCCUUAUGACAUCUUGAACCCUGUACAUAAACCCCAUGUCUGUGGUGAGGACACUGUUCCAUGGCUGAUGGAAGAGUAGCUUGGCAGCAGAUCAAAUCAAAAUCAAAUCAAAGUCUAUUGUUCGAGGACACAGAUUUGCAGAUGUUAUCGCAGGUGCCGCGAAGUGAUUGUGUUUCUAGCUCCAACAGUGCAGUAAUACCUAGAAAUACUUGCAGUAAUACCUAGAAAUACAAUCAUGGGAGAGCGUGGACGCAGUCCCCCACUACCACAAACUAUGCAGUCGAGAUUCCCACAUUUGGGGAAUUCGCAGGGGUCAGCAUGGCCGGAGUGCGAUGGGCGAGACUCGCCGUAGGUGAACCUCCUUCGUGGUCAAGGUGUCUGCCAGGUACACGUGUGAGGAGGAUGGCUGUGCUCUGCACCACGAAGAAGAUGUCAUGCUGAGGAUGGGUUUCUGCACUGAUGUUGUUGGUGUGAUGUACUGUAGCGGUGGCUCUCUCACUGUGUCUCUGUUGGCCAUGAUGCGUAACCAUAGAGAGUGAGUGACAGCCUGGUCUCCACACAGCAUAGGGGGCCUGAGAACCACAGACUCCUUUCAGAAGCAGUGAGGACUGACCAGUCUGCAAGCGAGACACUGGCCUUUCUCCCAUCAUGCCAGUCACUGACUGUUCUAGGCGUUGUGUUCAAAGACUAGUGCCACAAGUAUGGAAAUGCAGAUAAAGCAUUGUAACAAAUGAAAGAGGGAAAAAAAGGGUUAAAUGCCUGGAAAUGGUCACCGUCCACCACUUGUGCCACUGCCUGGUGCAUUUUCUUUUGUUUUGAAAGUUUUGCCAACAUUUUCAGUUGUUGACGGAUCUGUAGAGCGGAGGUAUCUAUCUACACACGCAGAUUAUGAGAGCCCUCAAUGUAAAUAACAUAUUUUUGUUUCUUUGAAUUUAAGAUGACAUUAACAAUGACCUAUCACAGUUUGCUGAUGAUAUGCCCGAAUGUACUCUUUCAGGUAAACAUUCUACAUAGUUUGUUAGAUACGGAAACAUACAACUGCCAUGUAAUGUUUACGAGAAAGCAAUCAAAACAGUAUAAAGCAAGCCUGUUUAGUAUUACGUUUUGCAGGCUAUAUGUUAUUUGGGUAAUUCAUAGAAGCUCUGUAAGUAUGUAAAACAUGUUUUGUUUUUUAUAUUUCCCCCAGAAAUAUCCACAGUAUAUCUAUUGUCUUAAUCAAGUAUCCCCAAACAGUCCAAAUGGAGGAGUAGUCCAAUGGUGGUUUUGGUUAUAUUGUGAUGAUUGAACGAGUUGAACCAGUCGUAGGCUGUGAUAUAAGGCCCACCUGAGUAGUAUGAGAAAGAAUAUGGGAACAUAGCAACAUUUAUCUAGAAUUAUAUCCAAUACAUUUGAUCCAUCUUUAAUUUGUAAAAAAAAAAUGUUUUGUCAAAGUGAUGAAAAAAACAUUAUUCACCAUUUUGUGUAAUGUUGUGAUUGUCCUUCUCAUAAUAAAAAUGAAGACAUACUCAAUUGUGAUGUCUGUGUUUUAAAGUUAUAUGUUU